GAUCCACAUCGAAAACAAACAUCAUUAUGGUCAGGCUCCCUUGAUCGAGGCGCCAUUGGGGCGCGAUUUGGACGACCAAUGCUCUUGGUGGCGUUACCACCAUGGUCGGAGGCUCCUCCUCUCUCUCACUUCACACGUUGACCUCUACGGUUCCGUGCACGCCUCUCUUGGUGAUUUCCUUCCUCUUUAGGGCGAACAUAUGGACCAGAAUGUCCAGAAUUGUCCCUAGUCUUAGGGUUUCGCUCCUUGCGUCCUCCAUUGGGGGCGCGUGUGGCGACCCGGAGACCGGAUUACCACAGCGCCGCCUCCCCAAGGAACCCUACGCCCGCGACACUUAGAGAGCAAGUGUUUUGGGCCUAGAAUUCCUCAAAGAGACAAGACCUUUGGGUUGGAGAACAAGAAAUCUAUAAGCCCGAAAUUCUUGGGCUUGUAUAGUGGGCUUGGCUCGUAAUCACAAGAUUACGAACUAGGCGAAUAAGAGGAAAGGAAGGUGGUGUUGAGUUGAGUUUUAGAACCUAUGUC
rnacentral:lncRNA from 1 species